UACGGGGGGGGUAAGCGUUGUUCGGAAUUACUGGGCGUAAGGGCUCGUAGGGGGCCAAAUAAGUCAGACGUGAAAUCCCUCGGCUUAACCGGGGAACUGCGUCUGAUACUGGAUGGCUUGAGUUCGGGAGAGGGAUGCGGAAUUCCAGGUGUAGCGGUGAAAUGCGUAGAUAUCUGGAGGAACACCGGUGGCGAAGGCGGCAUCCUGGACCGACACUGACACUGAGGAGCGAAAGCCAGGGGAGCAAACGGG
rnacentral:rRNA from 1 species